GACGAACGCUGGCGGCGUGCUUAACACAUGCAAGUCGAACGCAGUGGCGGACGGGUGAGUAACGCGUAAUCAACCUGCCCUUCAGAGGGUGACAACAGUUGGAAACGACUGCUAAUACCGCAUACUGAAGGAGGGGAUUGCGUCUGAUUAGCUAGUUGGAGGGGUAACGGCCCACCAAGGCGAUGAUCAGUAGCCGGUCUGGGAGGAGGAACGGGCAAAUUGGGACUGGGACACGGGCCAGACUCCUACGGGAGGCAGCAGUGGGGAAUCUUCCGCAAUGGACGAAAGUCUGACGAAGCAACGCCGCGUGAGUGAUGACGGCCUUCGGGGUGGAAAGCUCUGUUAAGCGGGACGCGGUACCGGAAGAGAAAGCAACGGCUAACUACGUGCCAGCAGCCGCGGUAAUAC
rnacentral:rRNA from 1 species